ACUCCUACGGGAGGCAGCAGUGGGAAUAUUGGACAAUGGGGGCAACCCUGAUCCAGCAAUGCCGCGUGUGUGAAGAAGGCCUGAGGGUUGUAAAGCACUUUCAGUAGUGAGGAAGUUUUGUUGUUUAAGAGAUGACAGGAUUGACGUUAGCUACAGAAGCAGCACCGGCUAACUCCGUGCCAGCAGCCGCGGUAAUACGGAGGGUGCAAGCGUUAAUCGGAAUUACUGGGCGUAAAGGGCGCGUAGGUUGUUGAGUAAGUUGGCUGUGAAAGCCCCGGGCUUAACCUGGGAGGGUGCAGUCAAAACUGCAUUGACUAGAGUGCAGUAGA
rnacentral:rRNA from 1 species